GGCCACGUGGCGAAGAUAGCAACGCGGCGGUCUGCAAAACCGCAAUGCGGGGGUGCAAAUCCCCCCGUGGCCUCCA
rnacentral:tRNA from 1 species